AGCGGUGACUUCACACACACACACACACAGCACCAGCAGAAGUGGUAACUCUUCUUUACUCACGCCUCGACCUGUUUCCGCCCGUUCUCACUCUCUCGUCCAGCGCUUCCGCCAUCCCCUGACUAUCCCGGCCACCGUCACGACUCCUGCGUGUUGCACUCACUUUCUCUCUUGUGCUUCUUUUCUGUCUCGCUUCAUAAGGAAGGGGGGAAGGUGGGGCGCAGCUUCGCUUCUCGUGCUCCUCUUAUUGCGCGUUUCUCUUCUUGCGGUGGCGCCACUGCCGUUGCCCAUGACACGGCUUCAUCGGCUUGCCGUGGCAGUCCUAUGCCUAUGCGCUCUCGCGGUGUUCUACUGCCCCGGCGUCGCCGCGCGUUUCUCUGAGUCGCGCUCGCUUUUCCGCGAUGCCUUCGAGGUGGUGGACAUCAACAGCACGAGCCUGAGGGAGUUGCACGAGUCGGCGCACAUGUGCCCAUGGAUUCUGGUCACCUACUUGGACAGUUGCGGCCACUGCCGCCACUCUGCCCCGCUCGUUGCCCGCAUCGCGGAGGAGACGCUCGAAGACAGCGGAGAUGUGCUGAACGAGGUCACAGUGGCGGCGCUCAACUGCGAGACGAGCAUGCACGACUGCCACGAGCUGAGGGUGGUCGGCGUUCCCUCUUUUUACUUCCUCUUUCCAUCUGAUAUGCCCGUGAACGCGACUACUCUAGAACCUGUCGUCGCUAAUAAGAAUCUCCUCGACAAGGGUAACGUGGAGGCGAAGCCCAUCAACAUGACGCGCGCCUUGAUAGGACAAGGGGCAAAUCCGAACGCACACUUCAACACGGCGCGCAAAAUGUGGAUGAGUGCCUCGACUAACCUCUGGAGGGCAACGAAUAAGGAACUUUGCCUGCACAUGCGCACCUACCUGCGCAACUCGAAGGAGAGCGACGCCGCGGAAGCCGGCGCUGGCGGGGUUCUACCCACUGCCAGCACUUCGAACUUCGUGGAAGAGACGACGUUUCACGUUGUAGAUGUCGCCAACGCGUUUUUCGAAACCCUCUUCCACGAAGUGGCGUUGAAGGGUCUUGAGUCUGCUGCACGGCGCCGAGCUCUUUUUAGGUUUCUUCGCUUGGUGCAGCAGCGACUGCCUGGACUUGGGGCGGAUGUGUUGCUGUACUCUAUGACCGUCAACCGUAGGGUGGAUGGCGCGCAGAGCAGCGUAGCCGAUUUUGCCUCCUCUGUGGGCGACUGGCAGAAGCUUGUUUUGUCCGCGGGUAUCCCAUACCAGGGAACACCGCGACAUCUGAGUUGGCGAACGUGCAAGGGGUCUUCAUGGCGUUACCGCGGCUUUCCGUGCGGUAUGUGGUUGCUCUACCACUCCCUGACGGUGAAUGCGGCGCGCGUGGACGCCGACGAGCUCACGGCAGGCGUUGCCGACGACAACAAUACCGAGGUACUGUUCAUCAUUCUCGACUACGCGCGGCACUUCUUCGCUUGUGAUGCGUGCCUCACACAUUUUCUCCGCUUUCAGCCAGGGGACAAGGACCCGGUGUUGCAGCUGUGGCGCUUCCACAACGAGGUGAACCGGCGCCUCGCCUCGUUGGGGGAGGGAGGCGAUCCGCUGGUGCCAAAGCGGAUUUUCCCGACGGUCGAGCAGUGCCCCGCAUGUAUUCGCGACGACGUCACCGGCAAGGAGGAGGACCGCUUUGUGGAGGCAGAGGUGUCGAAGUACCUGCGAUCCCGCUACAAGUGGAACCCCGAAGCGCUGCACGAGGGGACCGUCAGGGUGACGGAAUCCACCACGAAGCGCUCGAUCAACGAUCACGGCGGUGCCAUAAAUGUGUACCACAACCUUCUCAGCAUGGACACCUUUCUGACCAUCGUCCUUGUCAUCGUGGCGGCGGUGCUGUGUAUGGUUUACGUGCUGCGGCGUCACCAUUCGUCUGCCGCGAAACGGCGCCGCCCGAUUCUGCCCCUUCGAGCGCGAGACUAGAAGGCCGCAGUGCUCAAGACUCACGCAUCUCGGUGGUACUGGUCGUGAUGUGAUGAGUCCCCUUAUGGUUCCUGGUACAUCGGGGUAAAAGCGCACAUGGGCAUGUGUGCGCUCUUGCACCCGUGCCUUUCUCCACACCGCGCAAUGAGUGUGCACUCCGGCGUUGCUUUCACUGUCAGUGAUGCUUCCUACCAAAACAC
rnacentral:misc_RNA from 1 species